rnacentral:rRNA from 1 species
GACGAACCGUCCAAACGUUGUUCGGAAUCACUGGGCUUAAAGGGCGCGUAGGCGGGCCGCCGCGUCCGGGGUGAAAUCCUCCCGCUCAACGGGAGGACGGCCUCGGAUACGGGCGGCCUGGAGGGGGGUAGGGGCGUGCGGAACUGUGGGUGGAGCGGUGAAAUGCGUUGAUAUCCACAGGAACUCCGGUGGCGAAGGCGGCACGCUGGACCCCACCUGACGCUGAGGCGCGAAAGCCAGGGGAGCGAACGGG